UCUGGCUCAGCUCCGUGCGGGGGGAAGUGUGAAAUCUCGGCUGCCGUGCGCUCACACAAAGCCGUUCUAUUCGCCGGGAUUUGUCGGGUCGAGGAGGAUCCCGUUAAAGCCCGUCGCUAAACGCGGUUCUCCCACCUCGUUCCUUCAUUCAGCAAACGAAAAAAAAAAAAAAGAGAGAGAGAGAGAAAAAAUAAAAACAUCGUCAAAAAAUCCCCACCAAACCUUUUCCUUUAUUUUAUUUUUUUUGCGCUCGGUGUGAAAAAGAAGUUGGAAAUAAUAAACAUAGGGAAAAAAGGGGUGAUUUGAGCAGCGUUGUUAUUGCUGCCACGAGAAGCGACGUGAGUUCAUUCCUCGAAGGGGCGGCAGACGAGAAAUAGUUGAGCCAAAAACGUCGGCGUUUAUUCCCCAAAAGAAAAUCUUCGGUUCUGUUUUACGUUGUAAUGUAAAAUGAGUGCGAGAAAACCACAAAAACUUAGGAAGGCUUUAAGGUCCGUAGGUGGUGGGAACUCAUUGAGCCCCAUUGUGUGGCAUCAUUGGGGUUUUUCCUAUUAUUCUUAGGAAUUCGGACUCUUUAUUGUGAACGAAAUGUUUUCUUAGCGCCCCUUUAUUCCCCUGGGAAGCAAACAAGCAAACAAACUAAACAAGCCCUAUAAAAAUAAGUUCAGCCUUUUUGGGUGACAUCCCAGGUGUGAGGCUGAUGAGAGUUUCUAAACUUGGGUUAAUCGCACUCAGAAUGGGUUGGGAGCGAAAAGCGCUCCUCCGGUUUAUAGGAUCCAUAAGGAAAUCAGGGACGACAGCGGUGGAAACGUUCGCGAUUAAAGCGGAAGGACAAUAAGUGAGAGCUUCUGCCACUCUCUUUGGGACAAAGGUGGAGACCUUCACAUCGGCUCUGCUCCUCGGGUGCCAACAUGGGGCCGCUUUGCAGCCGGACCCCCACAGCAAGAUGCAGCAAGAUGCAACCCUAAUGCGGCCACAACCAUGGGCCACACCGGUCUUAGGGCAGCCGUGACAACCUCCUAACACCCUUGCCAAGGCCUCGGCAGCACCCGCAGGCCUUGGCUGAUGGAGGAACGACAAGGAAGAGGAAGCCGGAGGACUGAGCGCGGGCACCGCCGCUCUUCCAGGGCCUCCACAAAAUGGCGGCGGGGCUCCCAAAUGGCGGCGGGGCCCGGCGGGGGGAAAAAAGCGCCGGCUCAGUGCCAGGGCCGCCGUGCAGGGCACAAUGAGUGGCACAUAACGGCCCCUCGCCGCGGCCGCUGCUCCGCGUGGUGCCAGCUGGAGCCCCCUCCCUCCGCCUUGGCACGGGCAGGCGCCCGGCGAUGGCCGCCUCAGAGGAGGAGGAGGAGGAGGAUUAAGGCCGCAGUUGUGUCUCCCCUCUUUCUUUCCCCCUCAGUGGCUGAGAACAGGAAACACGAACCUAUCUGAGACUAAUUGACUUGCAAAUUAAUCGUUUGUCCCUGUGCCUGAUAAUUAGUGCUAACGAUUUUUACACCCCCCCCCCCCUUUUUUUUUUUUUUUUUUUUUUUUUGCGCUCUCCUCCUCUUUAUUUUACAGGAGGCCCUUCUCCCUUUCUUCUUCUUCCCUUUCUCCUUUGCCAUCCCCCCAAGCCUCUGUUCUUCCCCAAGCCCCCCUCCCAGCUGGCCCCCGCCGUGGGGUGGGGACGGCUGUGGGUUUGGGGGCACCCAUAGCUGCUGGUUGGCUUCCCACGCCUCGGUGCCAGCCCCACAUCUGCCCACCGGAGACAAUGAGCGGGGGGCUACGAUGGGGGCUGGAGCUUUGCAAUGGGCUGAGAUGGGCAGUGGGGUUGCCAGGGAUGUGGCAUCGGUUGGGGCUGCAAGCAGCUCACGUUCCCAAACGUUCCCAAAUAUCCAGGAAACGGGUAGAAAAGAAUACAGAGAAUUGUAUGAGGUCACAAGGUGGGCAGCAGUGUUUGGAUUUCUUGGCAGGGCUUUUUUCCAAAGCACCAUCUGAGAGCAAGGUGCUGCAGGGGUAUGGAAGGGAUAAAGAGAGCAAAGCAGCUCUCUUGAGGCCAUUUCCAUGGACCACGAUAGCAUCUCAUGCCUGAGCCUGGGAACAGCAACUGCUGGGGCUGCAGGGAGAGAUGUGCUCAGGGUCCAGGCUGGAUGUGGCUCUGAGCAGCCUGGUUUGGUGGUUGGCAGCCCUGUACAUAGCAGGGGAGUUGAAACUCGAUGAUCAUUGUGGUCCUUUUCAACCCAGGCCAUUCUACGAUUCCUUGGUGGUGUUUCAAUACAGAAGCAGUUUUGCUGGAGCCAACCCUUCUAAUGCCACGUUCCACUUCUUUUAUUCUUUUAUGUCCUUUUGGGGCGGGGGGGUUGGGAAAGGUAAGCUCCCUUUUUCCCUAUGCUGGAUGGGGUUUGCAUGCUCACCUCCAUCCCUGAGGCACAUCUUCCUCUGCUGCCCCACCGUAGAUAAUUAAAUGGAUCCUUUUCCAUGUAGCUUGCCUCCCCGGGUGCGUCUGGUGCCUGACACGAUUUGUCAGCUGUAUCUCUGCUGUAAUCCCAUUUUUGCCCCCUCUCCCUGCCCUGCUUUGUGUUCAGGACUCCCUUCCCUCUUGUCUCACAGUUCCUGAUGCUCAGCUCUUCCUUCCCAGGGAGCCUGCAGUCCAUCAGCCCUGCUCUUAAACUUGGUGCUCAUGAACUUGGCGUGUUUGGUUUGAUCAGAGUUAAUUGCACACAAGCUCCAGCCGUCUGCAAACAGGGGUUCUUUGUUCCUGCAAGAAUCGCCUGCCCCAUAGGGUCACAGUGGCCACGACCUGCUGUCCCCAAGGGUCACUCUGCCAGCAUGCACUGUCAAUUCAAUCCGGGCACCGUAGCAGAGGGUGGGAUGCUGCAGGUUGCUGCAGCAUGAAGGCCAAAACAGGGAGAGGUGCAGCCAGUCAGCACCAUCCCAGUAGGCAACGGAGGCUUUGGGGUCAGGUGCAUUGAAAUAACGCAAUGAGCAAUGGUCAUUGAGCUUUAUGGAUGGGGAGAGAGGGUGACAGCGGUGUUCAAGGUGGAUUAACUCCUACCAGACUUAUACAGGAGGUCUCCCAGAUUAAGUUCAGUGGUUUGUGAAGGAUCCCUUUCUGCUUUGCCAGAGCAGCUCUGCAGCCCGUGACCAUGAAUCUGGUCGGCACACUCCUGCUCACCAGGCUCAGCCCCUCUUAAUUAACCCCCUGUGUCCUUAGAGACCUGAACCCCCACAUCCCUCUUUCCUGUGGGGCUUUCCAAGCUGCUCAGAGGCAUCCAUUGAAUUCUUAUUGGGUUUAUGUGUUCCCUCCACCAGGUUUCAUGGUGUGGUCCCAUGCUAGCACGAUGGGGGCCAUCGCUGCAAAGCCACAGCAGCAGAAGCCCAGAGGGAUGAGACAAAUCACUUUGCUGUCCUGGAGUACCUGGCAGCGGGUGCUGAAAAGAACCAGUUCCACCAGCACUGAGAUUGACGGAGGGCUGGAGGCACUGAGGGGUUGGGGGGCCAGAAAAGCCCUCCGACCUUCCUCACCCAGCCACGUCCUCCUCUGCUGCUGCUGGGGAAGGAAACCUCUAGCAGGUUUCCAUUUGACUGAGCUCAAGGGAUGAGUUAGGGCUCGUUUCGGAGGGGCCAGGGGAUGGUGGCUGGAGGCAGCAGAGGGCACGAGGCCCUUGGGAGCAUUUCCUCAGGCAGGUGGGAACGGUCCCAGAAGGGUAGAGGCGGGCGAGACACUGCCUUCAGGCGCUUUCCCAAUCCCUCACACCUGGUACUCCGUCAAUGCAACCACUUGGCUAAAUGUGGGUCAUUGUAGGAGGGUGCAGCCACUCGAGCAAACAAGCCUCAAUUGCCCACUGAUUGGGGUGUCUGAGAGCACCGUCACUGAAAUUUCUGAGGGGGGAGGCAUUAAUAAUCCCCAUUCUGUCUCCGCAGCCCUUGCCCCCUUGUUAUUUCCCUCUUUGUGUCUUAAUUUGGCCCAUUAUUAUUAUUUUAUAAAAGGGCCCUUUCUCCACCCCCUCCCUCUUGAAGACACUCCUUAGACCGAUGGGAAAAUGGCAAGGAAUAAUUAUGAAAAACAUCAGUGGAGAGAGGGCCAUCUGAGAGGGAUUAAAGGAUUACAAUUAAAACUCAUUUUAGGGAGGUGGUGUGACAUUAGCGUUUCCAUUCUUCCCCCCCCCCACCCCCCUUCCCCAAACACCCUCUGGGCUAUCUGGGUCUAAGUUGAUUAAAUGACAAACUCCAGCUCGGAGGGAAACAACAACAAAUUAAAAAUAGAGUAAAAUGGGAGGGGGGAAAAAGGAAAAAAAAAAAACAAAAAACAAAAAUCCCAAAAAUGAUUUGCAAAAUUGAGGUCACUGGGAAUUACUGCAAGUUCUAGCAGCAGCUGGAAGCAGGGUGGACAAAGCACCUGCUGCUAAUAGCAGGUUGCUGGUGAUGGAAUCAUCUCCCCUCCGCCUGGUCCUGCACAGGGGAAGGUCUGCUUGCAGCACACUGCUCUGCAGCAUCAGUGCCAACCUUGCAGUUGUCCACGCUCUGCUCCACGGUCCCACAUCACCAGAGAGAGGAUGGAGUGCAGACCUCGUGCCCACAGCCCUCGUGUCCCUCAGCCCAGGUUUGCAGCAGGGCUGCAAGGUGCAAUGCAAGCAUGCAAAAUGCAGCCGGAGCCACGGAGCCCGUGUUGCUACUGCUGUGCAUCCCCUCCUGUCACGGCUGCGUGGCACACUGUGCUCUGUUCUCACUGAUCGGGUUUGCAUUUGGCAGCUGCUACCCCUGCUUGGCUCGUGAGGGCUUCGUGGUGGCUCGAUUUCAACAAGUAAAAUGAAUUAUGGGAUGCUUGCCUGCCACCGAGGCUGGUGGUUAUGGAGUUUGUAAUGGAGGAUUUCCCUUUAUAAAACAAAAACGCCUAUAAAGCAUGUGAUUCUGAUGACACGAGCACCUCAACCUGUGCUGGCAGCCUUGUUUGAAAGGGAGAUAUGGGCUGAUGGGAGGCAGACAUCCAACACCAGCUCUGUGUCUGGGGUGUUCUGUAGGUGGGAGCUUCGAGCGCAAAGGCUCUGACCUGCAAGCACAGAUCUCACCAUAUAAACCAAACCACGUGCAAGCACAUGGGCUGGGGAUCCUUUCCCCUGACCUAUGCCUUUCAUUGACAUUGGGAGCACAGAGCAGAGCACCCCCUGCACCCCCUGCUCUGGGUUGGACCCGCUGCUUCUCUCCUUGGCAUAGCAGGGCACCAUCACGUGGCUGCACACGUGGGCACAGCGCUGUCAUGUGAGGUGCCACAUCGUUGUCUCAUAUUGUGAGGCUGCAAAAAGCUGAACGGAAGGGAAACUCCCCCCCCCCCCCCCCCCCCACACACACACACACUCCGAUCCGGCCUAUUUUCUUUCCUCUCCUUUUGUUUCUGGUUUCCGGAACUAUGCAGCAAAGCAAAGCAUGGGGAGAAGAAAGAAGCUGAAGAGAGCUGGCAUCUGGCAGGGAAAAGAGCAAAAUAGCAGAGCAGGGCUUUGGGCAGAGGUGCAAGGUACCCCCCUCCCCAAGCAGGGGCUGCCUGGGACCUGGGUGAGCCCUAGAAAAAUCAAUCUGAACACAGGAUGGGCUCCAUAAGGGACUCCAGGGGGAGCCAAGCCUUGAAUUUAGGGGCUGAGUAGGCAUCCCUCUGCAGCCCUUGUCCCUCACCCCCUCCUGCAUGCUGCACUCAGCAUUGGCAGCCUCGUGCUGCAUCCUUUGCAAAGCAGAGGGGGGACGAGUUGGGGACCAUCCUUCUGCAGCACUGUGUGUGCUCCCGUGCUGUCCCUUUGCAGGCAGGGUGAGAUGCCAGAAUAUAUUUGAUUCAUGUUUAUUUAUUUUUUUUUCCCCCAUCCCGGUCAGUGCAGAGGGGUCUUUGCAUACAGUCCCAAAUGAAGAUAAUGUUAAUUAGGUCAAUUAAUUAGGACCGAGAUGCACUGUUUUCCCCCAGAGUAGAAAAUACAGUAAACUCCAUUUUUUAUGAGCUGUUUAUUCAGCCCGGGAGGUCGCAGCAGAAUAGCAGUGUCAAAGGAGCUGCCAUUGCCAAGGUCCUCGUGUCCCCUCCGCGCCGCCCCAGAAAGGGAACAAAACUCUGUUGACAGCAAAGUCCCAGCAGGAGCCCUGAGCUGAGGGGCACAGAGCAGCGAAGCGGAAAGGGUGCCAGCUUCCCGAGCACCAGGAGGGAACAGGCUGCAGUCCCCAGCAUUUCAAUGGGCCGGGGGGAAGCAAUCAGGCCUUUCAAGGGUUGUUCUCAUCAGCGCAGAGGGGACAAUGUGCUGCUGGCAGCGGGACAGGGCGCAGGGGACAAAGGGCUGCCCGUGGUUGGACACAGCUCUGUCCCAUCUCAGGGUGCUCCCAGACCCCUGGGCCAGGGGCAGACCCGCGUGGCUCUCCUUCUGUUUUAUGUUAUCCUUUGGGAUGCACGUGAUGUACACCUCCACCAGCAAGCAGAGGGUGACAGCCUGCCGACCGUUGCUGACUGAGCCUCUCUCUUGCAUUGCUUUCCACUCACUGCACCCCAGAAGCCCGCAGUCGGCAGAGCUCAGCCCAUGCCCAGUCUCCCAGCUGCACCGUAGCUCUGCCCAGACCCUUGCAAUGGGAUCGGAGGGUUUAGGAUUCUGCUGCCAUUGUGGGGUUUUUUGCACCUGGAUGUGCUCAAUGCAUACCCUGCAGCUCUUCACCAGCGUUGCCCACAGCUCCAUCUCCCGUCAGCAUCGCCCUGCUUGCUUGCAGGGCAGUGCAUCCUGGGAAUUUCCUUCCCCAGAAUGCCUUCACCCCAACCCGAUGGUGCACACAACCAUCACACUGACCCCCCCCUCCUGCUGCUGACCAGAGCGAGGAUGAAAGCAGCUCUUUUCUUUUUUUUCCCCUCUCUUUCAUUCAUUCAUUCAUUCAUUCAUUCUUUCUUUCUUUCUUUCUUUCUCUCUUUCUUUCUUUUUAAUGGCGUUUCAUUAGCCUCCAAAUCAGACAGGCUAAACAAUGGCGUUCUGUCAGCGAUGGGCUUUCGUGCUGAUUUCAUCUCCUCUCUCAUCCGUAUGCAAACCAGGCUCCAGCAGGCUUUGGCCAUGCCAUGGAAACCGAGGUGCAGGCCCGGAAUGGGGGUUCUCAGAGUGAGAAAUCUCCUGUUCGCUUUUUCCCAUUUGCAUAAUGCAACUUUUCUUCCUGCAGACACUGAGGCGCUUUUGUUUAUAGAGAGCUGAGGGAAAGGGGGGUGCCGGGGCUGGGGGGGGGGGGGGGGGGGGUCUGCAGGGAAGGGAAGGCAGCGCUCACCAAAGGAGAGUGUGUGGAGAAAGGCACGGGGCGACUGGGAGGGAAUAAAUAUGAGGAUGGGAAGCAGGGGCUGCAGUCAGGCCGCCCCCACCCCCGUGCCACAGGGACAUGGGUGCUUCUUAGGCCAAAGUUUGCCUGGGUGGGGGGGUUGUGCUGAAUUGAAGCCUCUGAAGGGAGUGGGAACAUUGGCCAAAGCCCGAUGUGAAAUGCUGUAAAGAGCUUCAUGCAUCAAAACUAGAAAGCAGUGCUGGUGGAACCCAAAGAAGCGGAGACCCCAGUGGGGUAACCUCCCCAAAGGGAGGGUGGCCAAGUGAAAUGGGGAGGGGGGGGGGGGGUGAAAGCAUCAUCCCAGGCCCAUGCACAGGCACAGGUGGAGGUAGAGGUGGAGUCACACAAAACUCCAGCUUCUCUCCCUUGAAAUGCAGCAAACUGCACGGGGAUGCAGGGAUGCAUCCCAAAGUCCCAUCCCCACCAGCACUGCCGCUUCAUGAGAGCAGCACCCCCAUAGCCACACACCUCUCCCUCUGCCACACAAUCCAGGCCUGUUGCAAAUGGGUUUGAGAUCUGACUGCAAAGAGCUGCUCUGAUGGGUCUCAGUGUCCCCAAUGGCUGCAGAGCCUUGUGAAGGAGCCCUGUCUGGUGCGUGUUUAAUAAUAACUACAAUAACAGCGGUGAAAUGUGUUCAUCGGCGGCGGAUAACAGACGUGAAAUCUGCAGCUCAAAGUAUUUUAGGAUCUGUAAAAAUCCCUGCGAGUGAUUUCUGGACGAGGUACAGAUGGUAAAAGCAAGGAUCGAAUUUUUGGGAUAUUUGAGGGUUCAGCCUCGAAGUGGAGUCGCUCUGUUUUUAAGGCAGUUUGGUGCAAGAUGCUGAGACAGAGGUCAGCCAGUGGGUGCGAGUGGGAGCAAGUCCUGCUGGUGCUGGAGGAAUGAGGCUGAUGGUCCGAGGAUGGGCAUGGGACGCUCCACCAGACCCAGCAAAGCUGCCAGCAGGAGCCGUGGUGACGUGGGUGCAGAUUUAACCUGGAAUUGAUUCAGGCCCCACCGGGGCAAUUUGUGCGUUAGGUACGCAGUACUCCAUCCUCCUACAAAGAUCAGCUGAGAUUCAUCUUAGCUGAUCUACCUAACGCCAAACAUUCAGUGUCUUGCUGUGGGCAGGAGAGCACCAAGGGUGCACCUGCCGUUUCUCACCUCUUUCCCAGCAGCUCCUGAUAUGGGCUGACUCCAUUCCCAUUUGGCUCAGUGCAGUUGUCCAACUCCCAGGCUGCAGGAACUGCUUUGGGGCUCCAUUUAUGCUUGCUGUUUAGCUCUUACAAGCAGCUUCUGCUUGCAUGCAAGACCAGCAAAGGGCUGUGGCUAUUCUCUUCCUUCACUGCAAGGAAAGCAAUCCCUGCACAGCUGGGAUGCAAACAGCCUGGGGAAGCAGCAGAGCAACCCAGCCCAAGGAGAAUGCAUCCCAAAUGAUCCUCACGUGUUGGCUGUGGGGUGAGGAUGUUGUCUGAGUGCACUGGGGCAGCGACAUGGGGGAAAGCAAUGUGUUGUUGUUAAACCAUUGCGCAUGGGAGCAGGGUGAGCCAUUCUGCAGGGGGUCCGUGCCUGUUGGGAUGCAUUGGACUCUGCUGGAGCAGGGAGAGGGCUCCCAGCAUCGCUUCCAUCCCCGGUCCACUGGUCAUGCCAAUUUGUCACCAAGCUGGGAUUUCAAUUAAACCCCCAAAGGAGGGGUCAGGGGUUAUGCAAACACAGAGGCAGAGGCCACUCGCCUGGAGGGCUUCCCUGGGGCUGCUCCUGCCGGCCCCUCUCUUUACACAGCCCAGAUUGACCCAGGCUGAGUGCCGGCAUUGUUCCCCACGCUCCAUUCAAGAGCCCGUUUGUCAAUAAAAUUGACCUCUCGGCUCCCGGUGAUGCUGCCUCCUCCUCUUCCUCCCUAUCCUUGAAGCUCAGUCAGAGUGGAUCUGACAGUGCCCUCCGUGGUCCUCAUGCCCUGGAUGUGCCCUGCAUGCGUCAGGAGCAGGGAGCAGAAAGCAGCACUGCUGGGUGCUGCAAUGACCCUGCUUCUUUGCACUGCUCUCUGCCCUUGGGACUCUUGCAUUUGACCAAACCCACUUGGCAAUAUCCAGCUGGCACCCUUGAAAGCAUCAUCAUAAGCAGCAGCAUCAUUUGUCCUCUCUGGUUCUCCUUUCAUAUUCGUUCCCUGCUAUUCCCAUGACAAUCCCAUGAUGGUUUGCUGCUCCUUGCUGCCCACGGGGACUCAAAGGUAUUUUGCUCCAGGUCCCAUUUCCCCCCAUCAGCAUCUUCCCAUGCCAGCUGUUGCCCACGGACACAGCUACCCCAGCACCCUCCUGCUCUGUGGUGCACCACAAGGCUCCCCGUGGGUUUGGACCAUGGGAUGAUGGCUGCUAAUUUUGCCAGGCAGCAUGGUGAAAGGAGCAAUGCUUGAACCUGUGAGCAGAUUCAGCUGCAAGAUAAAGAUGUAUUGCAGCGCGAGUGGCAAUUAGUGUGGGUAAAGAGCCCCUUAGUGACUGUCCCUUACAUAACACCUUUGUUCCCAGCCCUUCACUUUACAUCCAGUUUGUAAAUAAACUUGACUCCCAGUUUUGCUGGGGCCUCAGUUCCCCCUUGAUUUGAUUUUAUUCUUCAUUCGAGCUGGCAAAGAACAAGCUGAUUGUUUGCCUGUACUGCCCAGGCACCCUGGAGCGGGCACUGCAGCCACCCAUGCUCUGGGUGCCAACGAUUUUAAUUGCUGUGCCCCCAGGGCCAGUGCCCAGAGAGGCUCAUUAUGCUGCUAGCAAUGAUUAGCGUCCUGCAAACGGAGCUUUGUGAUUGCAAGGGUCAAAGUUGAGGAUGCUUCUGUAGGGGGGCAGCUUGGCAGCAAGGCUGUGUUCUGCCCCAGGAGUUUGGGGUCAGGGAGGGGAUGUGGAGGACUCAGGAUCACGUUCAAUGCAUGACCUCAACCACCCCAUGUCUGGUCCAUGGGUCUGGAAGGAUUUGGGGUUUGGAUUUAAGCUACAUUUAAGGUCCUUUCCAACCCACACCAUUCUGAUUCUAUGAUUUGCACCCACGGGCAGUGCCAGGAUGCUCUGAGGCACAGUGCCUUGGUGGCACUCACACCUGGGGAAUGGCAGACAUGGAGCACGGGUGCUGCUGGGUGUUCCUAUGGCACAGUGAUGCCACGUGGCCAUCAGAGCUGUCAGGCACCGCUCUUUGUUUGGAGCAGGGAUGCCUGGGCCCCUGUGCCUCUCCGAGCCUCCCCGCUCCCAUCUGGUGCCCAUUAUCAGACGUGUGCACCAGCCCUGUCUGACAAGGAGCUUUACAGGUGUCGCUCAGAUAACAAUUCACACUCUAACGAAGGUGGGAAAGAUGAUUAGCCGGCUUUCUAUCAAGCAGAACACAGCAUCAGCUGCUCCUGAGGGGGGAGGCAGUAGGGGCCAUGGAUGUGUAAGGACACAUACACCAACAACACCGCAAGCCUGGGCUUUGUCCUGCCGCUAAUUCCAGUGCACUUGCGGGCACCUCUUUGUGUGCCUUAGUUUCCCCAGCUGUAGCAGAGCUGUGGUUAUUGCUUUUCCUUGAGCAACACCCUCCGAGCAGCUGAUUGAGCUCAGGAAAAAAGAAAGAGGAGGUGAUGGAGGCAGGGCCCUCAGCAGCUGAGCUGCCAACGUGGAGGGCAAGGUGCUGGCAGAGCCAGGGCUCCCAGGGGACAGAGCUGGGAGUAGGGGUGCAAAUGGGAGCUAAAUGGCGAAUGAUAAAUGGGCUUUUCUGGGCUGUCCCCUGUGCUCUACGGAUGGGUUGUGAGGGGUCACGGGGACGGGAAACUGAGGCACGAGGGGCUUUGGGCCCUGCCACCGUGCUCAGGGUUUGCAAAGCAUUAAGGCACGGAGCCGAGCCUGCGUCCCACCGGGUGCCACCAUCACAGCGCCCAUCUGCACCCCAGUGCCGGGGCAGAGCCAGCACUGCCUCUCGCUCCGGGAUUAUCCGCUCAGCCGCGCCAUCUGUUCACCAAACUGCCAUCAUUAUGUUCAACUUGGGAAGAAAACGGCCCCUACAGAGAAGCAAUUUGUUCGCUGACGAAACCUUUCAGGCUCUCGCCGUCCCCACCGACCCUCGCCGCCGUGCAGGCCGGCCCUGUGCUUGCCUCACUUAAACAGUCUGCGGGGAGAGAGGUGUGUGAGCGAGGCACGGGGAGGGUGCAGGGCUCCCUAAUCCGAUUAUAGGGCAUAAGAGCCUUCAGAGGGCCGAGGAGGAAGAGGAGGAGGAGGGAGUUGCACUCCGUGCCCAACCCCAGCCCCGGGGGUCUUGCAAUGAUCUCACUGGAGGGGCUUUUCUUCGCCUCGCAGUGGGUUGCUUUUUGGGAGGAGAUCAAAAGGGAAAGGGGCUGCCUGGGAAAGCGGGGGGGAGUGAGUGGGGUUUGGGGCUGCAGGCUGGAGCCCAGCCCCAAUGCGCUUCUGCCUCCCAUGGGUCAUGAGAAGCAUCUUCCCCAUGCAGCAGAGCCUGGAGGGGGGUUAGGAUGGACCAGGAGCAGAACGCCCAGGGCCUGCAGUGAGGAUGGAACCUCACGUCACACUGCCGGGCUCCUUUUUGGGGGGGCAAUGCAGUGGAACCAAAGCAUCCAGCACACACCUUGAUUUCAUUGGGUUCUUAGUAAUGAGCAAGUGGGGAUCCCUGGGAACGUUAAGGCGUUGGUUUGAUGUGUAUCAAAGGCGAACGUUUUCAACUUCUGCUGUGGAACAGUGCACCAGCCUCCAAAUUUCUCUCCACCGUUUCUAAAAGGAAUUAAAGAGCCCCAAUUAAAGCGAACAUUUUCGGUCAGCCUGGAACCAAGCAGUUGGUUUGUUGCUGGUUGUUUUUUUCCCCCCCCAUCUCAUUUCAGAUCUCAGUGUAUUUUCAGUGCGAUGCCAACCAGGACCAUGGGGGCAUCCGUCUCUCAAGAGGACCGAGUGAUACUUCGCUGCUUUGGAGGAAGGAUGGGAGGAGGGAGACCACCUGCAUGCAGGGGACCAGGCUGUCACCACGGCCUGGCCCCGAGCUGUGGCACCCUCUGGUGGCUGAGGUAAUGGAGGGGUCAGAGCUAAGCAUGAAAUCCAUG
ensembl:lncRNA